rnacentral:ncRNA from 1 species
CGACACUCCGGAGAAUCCCGUGCGCCUAUUGUGCCGACGGGUGCCGAAGGGGCAAGCGCGACGCGCCAAUCUCUCAGGCAAAAGGACGGAGC